CCUACGGGAGGCAGCAGUGGGGAAUAUUGCACAAUGGGGGAAACCCUGAUGCAGCGACGCCGCGUGAGUGAAGAAGUAAUUCGUUAUGUAAAGCUCUAGCAGCAGGGAAGAAAAUGACGGUACCUGAGUAAGAAGCCCCGGCUAACUACGUGCCAGCAGCCGCGGUAAUACGUAGGGGGCAAGCGUUAUCCGGAUUUACUGGGUGGAAAGGGAGCGUAGACGGCAGUGCAAGUCUGGAGUGAAAGGCGGGGGCUCAACCCCCGGACUGCUCUGGAAACUGUACGGCUGGAGUGCAGGAGAGGUAAGUGGAAUUCCUAGUGUAGCGGUGAAAUGCGUAGAUAUUAGGAGGAACACCAGUGGCGAAGGCGGCUUACUGGACUGUAACUGACGUUGAGGCUCGAAAGCGUGGGGAGCAAACAGGAUUAGAUACCCUUGUAGUC
rnacentral:rRNA from 1 species